CCUACGGGCGGCAGCAGUGAGGAAUAUUGGUCAAUGGACGAGAGUCUGAACCAGCCAAGUAGCGUGAAGGAUGACUGCCCUAUGGGUUGUAAACUUCUUUUAUAUGGGACUAAAAUGUUCCACGUGUGGGCUUUUGUAUGUACCAUAUGAAUAAGGAUCGGCUAACUCCGUGCCAGCAGCCGCGGUAAUACGGAGGAUCCGAGCGUUAUCCGGAUUUAUUGGGUUUAAAGGGAGCGUAGGUGGAUUGUUAAGUCAGUUGUGAAAGUGUGCGGCUCAACCGUAAAAUUGCAGUUGAAACUGGCAGUCUUGAGUACAGUAGAGGUGGGCGGAAUUCGUGGUGUAGCGGUGAAAUGCGUAGAUAUCACGAAGAACUCCGAUGGCGAAGGCAGCUCACUGGACUGCAACUGACACUGAGGCGCGAAAGUGUGGGUAUCAAACAGGAUUAGAUAUCCGAGUAGUC
rnacentral:rRNA from 1 species